rnacentral:rRNA from 1 species
CUACGGGGCGCUGCAGUGGGGAAUAUUGGACAAUGGGCGCAAGCCUGAUCCGGCAAUACCGCGUGUGUGAAGAAGGCCUGCGGGUUGUAAAGCACUUUCAAUUGUGAAGAAAAGCGAGGGCUUAAUACGCUCUUGUCUUGACGUUAACUUUAGAAGAAGCACCGGCUAACUCUGUGCCAGCAGCCGCGGUAAUACAGAGGGUGCGAGCGUUAAUCGGAAUUACUGGGCGUAAAGCGUACGUAGGCGGUUUAGUAAGUCAGAUGUGAAAGCCCUGGGCUCAACCUGGGAACUGCAUUUGAAACUGCGAGGCUAGAGUGUGGUAGAGGGAAGUGGAAUUCCGGGUGUAGCGGUGAAAUGCGUAGAUAUCCGGAGGAACACCAGUGGCGAAGGCGACUUCCUGGACCAACACUGACGCUGAGGUACGAAAGCGUGGGUAGCAAACAGGAUUAGAUACCCGAGUAGUC